AUAAAGUUGGCAGAAAAUAUGCAAAUAGUUUAGGACUAUUUUAUAAAAGAUAUCUUUUACUUUAUA
rnacentral:tRNA from 1 species